GAUGAACGCUGGCGGCGUGCCUAAUACAUGCAAGUCGAACGAACGGACGAGAAGCUUGCUUCUCUGAUGUUAGCGGCGGACGGGUGAGUCACACGUGUAUAACCUACCUCUCAGACUGGGAUAAUUUCGGGAAACCGGAUCUUAUACCCGAUGAUAUUUUGAACCGCAUUGGUCAAACGUGAGAUACGGUCUUUCUGUCACUUAUAGAUGGAUACGCGCUGCAUUAGCUGGUUGGUAAGGUAACGGCUUACCAAGGCAACGAUGCAUAGCCGACCGGAGAGGGGGAUAGGCCACAUUGGAACUGAGACAGGGACCAGGGUCCUGAGGGAGGCAGCAGAAGGGAAUCGUCCGCAAUGGGGGAAAGUCUGGCGGAGCGAGGCCGCGUGAGUUAUGAAGGUGUUCGGAUCGUAAAACUCUGUUAUUAGGGAAGAACAUAUGUGUAAGGAACUGUGCACAUCGUGACGGUACCUAAUAAGAAAGCCACGGCUAACUACGUG
rnacentral:rRNA from 1 species